GAGCGGUAGAGAGAAGCUUGCUUCUCUUGAGAGCGGCGGACGGGUGAGUAAUGCCUAGGAAUCUGCCUGGUAGUGGGGGAUAACGUUCGGAAACGGACGCUAAUACCGCAUACGUCCUACGGGAGAAAGCAGGGGACCUUCGGGCCUUGCGCUAUCAGAUGAGCCUAGGUCGGAUUAGCUAGUUGGUGGGGUAAUGGCUCACCAAGGCGACGAUCCGUAACUGGUCUGAGAGGAUGAUCAGUCACACUGGAACUGAGACACGGUCCAGACUCCUACGGGAGGCAGCAGUGGGGAAUAUUGGACAAUGGGCGAAAGCCUGAUCCAGCCAUGCCGCGUGUGUGAAGAAGGUCUUCGGAUUGUAAAGCACUUUAAGUUGGGAGGAGGGGUUGUAGAUUAAUACUCUGCAAUUUUGACGUUACCGACAGAAUAAGCACCGGCUAACUCUGUG
rnacentral:rRNA from 1 species